rnacentral:rRNA from 1 species
CCCUUAGAUGUUCUGGGCAGCACGCGCGCUACAAUGGUCUUCGCAAACGGAUGCAUUCUCGAAGGAGAAUGCCAAUCUUGGAAUCUAUCCCUUGGUCGGGACAGUUGCUUGCAAUUUUUCGACUCGAACCAGGAAUUCCUUGUAAUCGUGAUUCAUCACAUCACGAUGAAUACGUCCCUGCCCUUUGUACACACCGCCCGUCGCUCCUACCGAUCGAAGAGUUAGGUGAAUUGUUUUGAUCGAUAAGAUUUGACUAUGGUCAACUCUCGUUGUGAAAUUCUGUGAAUCUGACUGUUUAGAGGAAGGAAAAGUCGUAACA